UAAAAAAUAAAUAAAUAAUUAUAUAAAAAUUCACCCCAGAACAAGAUCAUAUUUCUAUGGCUCUAAAUUUAAUACACGCCCAAAUAAGAUCUUCAUGAAUUCAGAGGUCAGAUUUUUCCAAGCUUUAAGUUCAAAGGAUUUCAGCUUUAAGCCUGAUUUAUAUUUUGCAUGUGAUCAUGUGUUUGCAGAAACAGUAGCUACAGUAGCAUUGCUCACCUCACUUCUUUACAUGUUCCUGUGUGUCAGGUUUCCAUGUCAACCUCUAAAAUGUUUAAAGAUUCCAUGCUUCUAUUCUGGGAUACAUCGGGUAUUUUUAAUGGAGAUCUCUGGGUUUUUGUUUUUUUUUUUUCAGACUUUUUGCUGCCUUUGUUGUGAUUGUUGUCAUGAACUUCGUCAUAAACAAACAAAUAAAAAAAUCCUCAGGAUCUAGAAGAUUAGUUCUUAUAAUAGUUUUUUCUGUAGAUUUGAAAGGACAUGAGCUUCCAGUUGCUGUAUGAGGAAUUGUGUAUUGGUAAUGCCUAAUAAUAAUAAUCAUAAUCAUAAUCAUAAUCAUAAUCAUAAUAAUAAUCAUCAUCAUCAUCAUCAUCAUUUUAAAAUCACAGCUCUGUAUUUAAACACUGACACGGUAGCCAUGAAUAUGUGACAGCAAAGCAAGUCAUGUGACAUCAGUGUUUUUUCCUCUCAGCAAUCAGUGGCCUUUAAAUCCUCUACAAAAAUGUGUGUUUAAAUGACCGAAAACGUUGCCUUUGCUAAGUGACUUAUGAGAAUUUACCAGGAGAAAUUCACCACAUUUAUCUAAUCAUUGUUUGCUCUCUCUCUCUCUCUCUCUCUCUCUCUCUCUCUCUCUCUCUCUCUCUCUCUCUCUCUCUCUCUCUCUCUCUCUCUCUCUCUCUAACUUUUGAGUUCCAGUUUUUUAUGUUUAGAAUUAAAAUCCAUGCUAAUACCUUUUUGGCUGAUGAUGUGACUGGACUGCUAAUUGGUGACUUGAUCAAAUCAGAUGCAACCUGUUGGAUCUAACAACUUUUCCCAGAUCUGUAAAAGAUUGGCAAAACAUGGACAUGGAUCGUUUUUCGAAAUCCACAGCUACUAAAACAUCCAAUGAGGAGGAAGUCUGAAAUGCUUUACAAAAGGAGCAGGAUUGAGUUGGAAAAAUAUAAUAAUAUGUUGGCUCACCUGAGUCAUUUAUAGGUUUACAGUUACAUAAAUGGCAUGUGGGAGAUGCUCUUAUUCAGAGUGACUUACAGAAGUGCUUUGAAAUCUCAAUCAAUAAAUACAUCAUGAUGAUGAUUUACUAAGGGCACCAUCAUUAUAAAAUCUCUUUUGGGUGAGAAUACAGCAAGAAAAGCACACAACCAACACAGGUAGGUCAUUAGAAGUCAUUCAGAUGACAGAGUUUGGACAUCUGGGGGAAGUUCAUUCCACCACCUAGACACCAGAACAGAGAAGAAUCUUUCUUGUACCCUGAGAGAUCAUGGAUCAGUGGAGCAGUUUACCAACAUCGUGUCAGAUUAGCAAUCUGAGACGUUACCUCAGGGUCGUGAGACCAGAGAGAUGUCCAGGGAGAUCACAAAACCCUGACAUGGGAAUGAAUCGUCUGGGAUGAACAGCAGUUCAGUUCCCAGUUUUACUUAGAUACAAUUUCAGCUGCUGUCUACGAUGAGUUGUCCACCAGACGUGUUGAGAUCUGAGCAGAAACCUGAGUGUCUGAGCGAGGGAAGGAGAGGAUGAGUUGAGUGUCAUGUGAGGAUAUGACCUCGCCACAAGUUCGAGUAAAAUUCUUCAGAAGUCAAGCUCGUGUUGUG